rnacentral:rRNA from 1 species
AUUGAACGCUGGCGGCAUGCCUUACACAUGCAAGUCGAACGGCAGCACGGGAGCAAUCCUGGUGGCGAGUGGCGAACGGGAGUAAAGUAUCGGAACGUGCCCAGUCGUGGGGGAUAACGUAGCGAAAGUUACGCUAAUACCGCAUACGAUCUAUGGAUGAAAGCGGGGGAUCGCAAGACCUCGCGCGAUUGGAGCGGCCGAUAUCAGAUUAGGUAGUUGGUGGGGUAAAGGCUCACCAAGCCGACGAUCUGUAGCUGGUCUGAGAGGACGACCAGCCACACUGGGACUGAGACACGGCCCAGACUCCUACGGGAGGCAGCAGUGGGGAAUUUUGGACAAUGGGCGAAAGCCUGAUCCAGCCAUGCCGCGUGCAGGAUGAAGGCCUUCGGGUUGUAAACUGCUUUUGUACGGAACGAAAAGGUUUGGCCUAAUAAGCUGAGCUCAUGACGGUACCGUAAGAAUAAGCACCGGCUAACUACGUACCAGCCGCCGCCGUAA